AUUGAACGCUGGCGGCAUGCCUUACACAUGCAAGUCGAACGGCAGCGGACCUUCGGGUGCCGGCGGGCGGCGAACGGGUGAGUAAUAUAUCGGAACGUACCUUUCAGUGGGGGAUAACGUAGCGAAAGUUACGCUAAUACCGCAUAUUCUGUGAGCAGGAAAGCAGGGGAUCGCAAGACCUUGCGCUGAUUGAGCGGCCGAUAUCAGAUUAGCUAGUUGGUGAGGUAAAGGCUCACCAAGGCGACGAUCUGUAGCGGGUCUGAGAGGAUGAUCCGCCACACUGGAACUGAGACACGGUCCAGACUCCUACGGGAGGCAGCAGUGGGGAAUUUUGGACAAUGGGCGCAAGCCUGAUCCAGCCAUGCCGCGUGAGUGAAGAAGGCCUGGUUGUAAG
rnacentral:rRNA from 1 species